rnacentral:rRNA from 1 species
UUUUGCAUAUCCCCAAAAGCGGAGGAAAAGAAACCAACAGGGAUUGCCUCAGUAACGGCGAGUGAAGCGGCAACAGCUCAAAUUUGAAAUCUGGCCUCUUGGGGUCCGAGUUGUAAUUUGUAGAGGAUGUUUCGGGUACCGCCUCGGUUUAAAUUUCUUGGAACAGAAUGUCAAAGAGGGUGAGAAUCCCGUCUUGGACCGGCGGUAGGGCCUAUGUGAAACUCCUUCGACGAGUCGAGUUGUUUGGGAAUGCAGCUCAAAAUGGGUGGUAAAUUUCAUCUAAAGCUAAAUAUUGGCCAGAGACCGAUAGCGCACAAGUAGAGUGAUCGAAAGAUGAAAAGCACUUUGAAAAGAGAGUUAAACAGUAUGUGAAAUUGUUGAAAGGGAAGCGCUUGCAACCAGACUUGAGCGCGGCGGUUCCCCCUUGCUUUUGCUUGGGUUACUCCGCCGUGUCCAGGCCAACAUCGGUUCUGGGGGUCGGUCAAAGGCCCUGGGAAUGUAUCUACCCACGGGUAGACUUAUAGACCAGGGUGUCAUGCGACCUCCCGGGACCGAGGAACGCGCUUCGGCUCGGAUGUUGGCGUAAUGGUUGUCAGCGACCCGUCUUGACCACACGGGACCAAA